rnacentral:lncRNA from 1 species
CCAAAGCUAAAAAGAUUCUAGAAUGUUCACACAAUUAUGCUUUCUACACUACUCUAAUUACUAAGCACCCCUAAUGGGCCUCCAUGUAACAUGUACAAGGCUUUCUCUCUUCCAUCCGUGGCUUCAUUCAAUUGGGUGUGAAUGUGCUUAGCCAUUGAUCUUGUAAUUGGGCCUAGACGGUCUAGGUCUCCCCCUAGACGCUCCAUGUGUAGCCUUCCCUCUUCACGUCCUAGACGCUCCUUCCUUGAGUCUAGACGCUCAUCAUGGUCUAGUUUUGGGUCUUGGCUUUCAUGGUGGGAUGUGCUUGGCCCUCCU